GGAUUAGAGGAAGCAGAGGAUCAAUGUGCUGUGGAAUUGCCCUGUUGCUGGUCAUUAUAAACUUCCCUUCAUGAAGCUGUGAAGGUCUUGGGUGAGAAGGAAUGGAAGGAGUUGUGGUGUGGAUGGCAUUGGCUAUUAACAGGGAAGAACAAUCCAAUUUGGAUCACUGUUCUCUACAACUUGCAGCUGAUAGGGUUUCGGCUGAAGGAUUGGAGGUCUAUCAAGG